CAUCUCGUUUUCGCGUCGUGAAAGCUUGCUUGGAAGUCAACGUGUCGCGGUUAACGAAGGCCCACGCGCAACGCGUUCAACCAGAGACCGUCUGACAGGUGUUGGGCUUCCGCUUCCACGGUGGAGUCCAUCGAGCACUGUUACCCGAGGAGCAUAUAAUGCGGUUUUAAUGCCAAAGGUGUCAGGUUUCAUAAACGAACCGGUACACGCGAGUUUGUCACGGGUCAUUCGCGUCGCGGGUUACGAAAAACGACCAACCGAAACGGACAUACGACACGUGGGCGACGGACAGUGAUCGUUUAUUCUUUUUUCUCUUUCCUUCUCUCUCUCUCUCUUUCUUCUUUUUUCGGGACGCGCGAAAACGGGACUGAGAACGAGGAAGAGGAAGAGAGACGGACGAGAUUAGAACUGUUGGACCGGCAAGUGCACGUCUAGCCUGAUCACGUUUCGAAUUGUAGUACGUGGAACACAUUGUGAUUUGACAGACACGGACCCCGCUACGAUGGAGCAGAAUUCCUUCGAGACGGGAAUUUCGAGGAACGUGGAAGGUUAUUUUUCUCACGAUGCAUCGGCCAAGAACAGAGAUAAACUUUAGUUUGAUCUGUAGAGACGAGACGGAGGAGCGAAAGAGAUGCGUUAUACACGUAUGUUUUGUCGUCGAGCAGUGGUGACUUGGUCGUCGGAAUUUCGAGCCCUAGUGACUUCAAUGCGUGCACAAGACGGAUUUCUGGCGUCAUUGCACCAAUUGCCAAAACUUAUCUGCCGCUCGAAGAAGAAUAGAUUCUAACAGACGACAGGGAUGAUCGAUACGAGAAAUUGGUCUGGCGAACACGAAUCGGAGGGCAUAAUCGAGGUGAGUCGGUCGACGUCGCAGGCUUUAACCGCUGUCGUCGGUGAAAACUUAUGGAGCUAUUACGGAAUUUUUUCUGCAAUUUGUCCUCGUCUUUUUUGGCGAAACCGAGAACGGGGAGAUAGGCCAUCACGCGAGGAACACGAGCUCUCGGCUAGCCUGUCUCGAGCAAAAAGGGCCUUCGAACGAGUCCCCAUAAUA